GACGCAUGCGCGGAACACGUACACGCGCGGAAGGCUCCGCUUCCCCGGGUGUGAAUCCACCGAUCCGGGGUUUCGGCCCCGCCGGGAGCUCUGUUUAUAAACACACCGCGCGGCCGCCGGCCAGGAGUAACCCUAAAGUGUAAAUGUCUCUGGAGUGGGUGAUGUCAGACUACCAACAUGGACCAUCUGAACUUGGAGUUGGGAGAGUACUUCUAGUAUACAGUUAAAAUCGAUGCAGAUAACCUCAGGAACAAAGGAAAUGAUGAGUUUUGAGACCUUGUUUUCAACAGAAUUGAUUUCACUACCCCAUCUUGGCCACCUGGAGAAGCAGCAGUAUGUUGGGAACCGUCCUUGGAGAGGAUCCCAUGACAGGGGACCGUAAGUGGCCUCCAGGAUCUGAGAGCACCUCCAGCCGACAGCCAGGAAGAAGCCAGGGCUAUUGGUCAUGUGGCCAUGAGGAAAUGCAUCCUACCAGCAGCAUGCACUAGCCUGGGAGAUUAUUCUUGCCCAGUGGAGCCUCCAGAUGAGAACGCGGCCCUAGCAGCACCUGGAUUCAGCCACAUGAGACCCUGAGCAGAGGACCCAGUUCAGCUGUCUAUGAUAAGAACAUGUCCUGCGUGGUGACUGGCCCAAGGAGAAUGAGGAGCCCAUGGAGGAGACCUGACCCCCAAUGGCAACCUGGAGCCAGGCCCAGUGGAGCCCAGCAGAGCUGCAGCCAAGCCACAGACCCCUGAUGGAGAGAUACGUGCUUACUGUUUAAACUGCUAAGCUCUGGAGGGAGGGAGCUGUUUGUUACGCAGCCCUACAGCAGCAACGGUUAACUAGUACAUAGUAUCUGUCUCCCCAGCUGAGCUGAGGCCAAAUCUGAUUUUGCUCAUGGUAUCCACAGCUAGUUGUACUUUUUCUGGCAUAUAGUGGGGGCUCAAUAACAUUUGGUGAAUAGGUGAAUGGAUGAGUGACACCUUUUACUUGGAAAACUCUUCUCUAUUUUCAAAAUGCUUGGAUGAGUUAGGUUGGCCAAUUUGUUUUUAACCCCAUUUUUUACAGAUUAGGAAAUGAAGGAAGGUCAAAAGUCUCGCCUCUGUUCACACUGACAAUAAGCAGGGAGAGGACAGAUAGAGCCUGACUCGCCUGGAACUUUCAUUGUGAAAUUUGACUAUCUUGGUGGGCUGGCAUGUCCCAGAUGGCAGCUGUUCCCUCGGCCUGGCUUGCAGAGCCGAAGGUGACCCGCCAAGCACCCAGCACAGGAAUGAAGAAGGCGUGGACCCAAGCGUGGCACAAGUGAGAGACAGGCCUGUGUGUUCGUAUUCGGUCACGACAGCCAGAACGGGACCCUUUUCUCCUGAUUUCACCAUCGGAGGAACAACAGCAUGGAGACGCUUGGGAGCUGACGUCUGAGUCGGCCCGGAGACCGCAGUGUGGAGGGUGCUGGCGGGUGUUGUUUCCUUGGCUCCAGAGGCCAGAAGCCUGAAGCCAAGUGUUUGUCAGAAACAGGCAACUUCUAUGCAGAAAAGCCAGCUCUAGACGCAGCCUCUGGCUCUCCAUGGAGUUUCUGAUCUGCCAGGAGACUGUUCCAACAACAAGAUCCCAAAGAAACCAACUGCCAUUUCCAUCACUGAAGUCUCAACAAACAUCACUGUGCACUGGCCUGGCCAUCAGUGGGAGGAGUGUCUGUUCCACGAAUUCCUACCACAUCCGUAAUAAAGGAGGGGGAACGAUGGUCGAAAUUUUCCUUUGUUUCUCCCAGAAAAAAAAAAAAAAAGGUAGUUUCCACUGAGCAAUUAGAUUUUUUGGCUUAUAAGCAGUGAAUCUUGUAACCAACCAUAUAUCCUUCUUUGUUUUGGCUGUUAGGUAGCUCAGAACUAAUUGGGAUCCAUCUCAACCAACUCUGUUAAACUUUAAGAGAUACACACUGAAUUCUGUGAAAUGAUACAAUGCCCGAGAUUUGCUUCAAAAUAAUGCAGAAGGGUCCAGGUGGUGACAGCCGAAACAAAAGUGACCGCGAAUGGAUCAUUUUGAAGCUGAUUGGUGGGGGCAUGGGAGGUUGUUUUACUGGUGUGUCUUCUAUUGUGUAUGUUUUGAAUGGUUCCACAAUUAAAAGGUUUAAAAAAUAAA